ACCCAAGCCACAAAUGUGCUACGGAAGUUAGUGUUACUUCCAUGCAAAGAGGACUUUGCUGGCAUGCCAUCACUCCAUUUGUAGGAUGUGAGGCACCUGUAAAAUAAAAAAAUAAGAGUUUAACAAUUAUCUGUAAAAAGUUCAAUGUUUGCUGUCGUCAAAUUUCCAAAUGAAGAGGACAGUUUAGCUGUCAUCUCUGAAGCCUGGUGCACCAAGGAGGGAUGCUACUGGCCUCCAUAUAAGAGCCAUGAGAGGAUCAAGAGGGCAGUGAUGCAGCAUGAAAAGCCAAACAGAGACACAUGGGAGAUACACCCAUUUGAUUUACUAAAAAUAAAAGAUAUAUAUGACAAGGCCCAUGAAUGCUUGAUUUGGGCCGAAAAGGGCUCCAGCAUUGAAACAGAGCCAGAGUCGCAUUAGUGGAAGAGAAAGUAUUAUUGUUUAAGAUAAAUGGAACCCAAACCAUACACUAGCCUCUAAUCAUUCCCAGGCUAAAUCCUAAAUUUGACCAGACGGAUUCUGAGGAGUCUGAUGAUGGUGACUAUAAUCAGCUCCCACCACCACCAAAGCCCCCCACAUUUGCCCCCAAAAGGGUCGUUUGUACAGCUCAAGCGGCAACCUCCCCCAGUCUCUCAUGAAGCCAAUACGGAAGUAACUUCCUAGGGACCCUGUCCCCGCUAGGGACAGGCUCCAAAAG